GAAAGGUUAAUGGCUUUUUUUUUAGUAGACAUUACUGAGAAAACUGGCUCAUUAUAUCACAAAAAGUGAAACUUGGAUCUCAUAUAUAAAGGUGUAUUUCACUGAAUUUUUUUUUUUUUUUUUGAGACAGAGUUUCCACUCUUGUCGCCCAGGCUGGAGUGCAAUGGCGCGAUCUUGGCUCACUGCAACCUCUGCCUCCUGGGUUCAAGCGAUUCUCCUGCCUCAGCCUCCCGAAGUAACUGGGAUUACAGGCGCCUGCCACCACACCUAGCUCAUUUUUUUUUUUUUUUUUUUUUGUAUUUUCAGUAGAGACAAGGUUUCAGUCUUGAAUUCCUAACCUCCGGUGAUCCACCUGCCUCAGCCUCCCAAAGUUCUGGGAUUACAGGCAUGAGAAACCAUGCCCAGCCGAUUUCUCUCAUUUUUUUUUUUUUUUUUUUUUAAGAGACAAGGUCUCGCUGUGUUGCCCAGGUUCCUAGGGAGGAAGGCAAGAGAGACUACCAAAAAAAGCUUCUUAGAAGACAGGAUGCUUCACACCUGGAAUCCCAGCACUUUGGGAGGUCAAUGAGGGACGAUCACUUGAGCCCAGGAGUUCGGAACCAGCCUGG
rnacentral:lncRNA from 10 species